UUUACCAAUUUUCUAAAUAUUUUAGAAAUAAUAUCUGAAAUAUUUCUGGUUGAUCAAAAUACUUUUAUUAAUUUUUAAAAAUUUCUUCAAAUAUCCUCAAACCGAUAGGAUUUAUUAAUGAAAUUUGAAAUUUAAAAGAAUAUUUUGAUAAUUUCAUAAUAAAUUUAAAAUUUUGGAAUAGUGGUCGAUGGGUAAAUAAG
rnacentral:lncRNA from 1 species